UGAAUGGCCAGGCUGUCUCCACCCGAGACUCAGUGAAAUUGAACUCGCUGUGAAGAUGCAGUGUACCCGCGGCAAGACGGAAAGACCCCGUGAACCUUUACUAUAGCUUGACACUGAACAUUGAGCCUUGAUGUGUAGGAUAGGUGGGAGGCUUUGAAGCGUGGACGCCAGUCUGCGUGGAGCCAACCUUGAAAUACCACCCUUUAAUGUUUGAUGUUCUAACGUUGGCCCCUGACCGGGGUUGCGGACAGUGUCUGGUGGGUAGUUUGACUGGGGCGGUCUCCUCCCAAAGCGUAACGGAGGAGCACGAAGGUUAGCUAAUCCUGGUCGGACAUCAGGAGGUUAGUGCAAUGGCAUAAGCUAGCUUGACUGCGAGCGUGACGGCGCGAGCAGGUGCGAAAGCAGGUCAUAGUGAUCCGGUGGUUCUGAAUGGAAGGGCCAUCGCUCAACGGAUAAAAGGUACUCCGGGAUAACAGGCUGAU
rnacentral:rRNA from 1 species